UAAAUAUGUUAGCAAACCCUAAAAUAAGAUUCAAAACUCAACUAAAGUUGCAGAAAUUUCUUUUACAUUAGAAAAAAACCAAUUUUUUAAAAUAAGACCUAAUUUGAACAUUUAGAUUAUUACCACACAACCAAUAAAAUAGAAAUCAGCUAAAGAAAUAUACUAAACGUUUUACCAAGCUGUUUCCUCUCUAUCUGCUGCUGCCAUCGAUUUCUGCAUCCAACCAAAAAAUAAAAACAAGAAUCCUGAUAGAACUCACAAAAUCAGAAAAAAUGGACUUCAAACUUAGAUCUACGGUAGGACAUGCAUGUCACCAGAGGGCUCACCGGAGCCUUCCUCGAUGACAUGCAAGUCUAAUGAAAUCAGAAAAACUGAAAAGAGAGCUCCGAAAUCUUUUACAUUUUCUUUCUUUCCAUGGUGGUGAUAGGGAGAGUAGGUGUGAGACAUAAGCAGCAGCCGUCGUCGCUGGAAAUUAAAAGGGUGGAGGGGAAGACGCGGCCGAGAAAGAAAAAAAAGUAAAAAAUAUAGCGGCGGCGGCCGCGGCGGUAGAGAAGGGGAAGGAGAGAAGAGGAGAGAAGAGAGAAGGAGAGUUAGAGAGAAGGCAGAGAGAAUAGAGAAGAGAGGAGAGAGAGU
rnacentral:lncRNA from 1 species